rnacentral:rRNA from 1 species
UGAGUAACCUGCCCCAGACUCUGGGAUAAGCACUGGAAACGGUGUCUAAUACCGGAUACGAGCUUCAGCCGCAUGGCUAGGAGCUGGAAAGAAUUUCGGUCUGGGAUGGACUCGCGGCCUAUCAGCUAGUUGGUGUGGGUAAUGGCCCACCAAGGCGACGACGAGUAGCUGGUCUGAGAGGACGACCAGCCACACUGGAACUGAGAUACGGUCCAGACCUCUACGGGAG